AUUUGCGCCGAAGGUAUACCGGUAAGGAGUGCUGGAGCGAAUAGAAGUGAGCAUGCAGGCAUGAGUAGCGAUAAUUAAUGUGAGAAUCAUUAACGCCGUAAACCCAAGGUUUCCUACGCGAUGCUCGUCAUCGUAGGGUUAGUCGGGUCCUAAGUCGAGUCCGAAAGGGGUAGACGAUGGCAAAUUGGUUAAUAUUCCAAUACCAACAUUAGUGUGCGAUGGAAGGACGCUUAGGGCUAAGGGGGCUAGCGGAUGGAAGUGCUAGUCUAAGGUCGUAGGAGGUUAUACAGGCAAAUCCGUAUAACAAUACUCCGAGAACUGAAAGGCUUUUUGAAGUCUUCGGAUGGAUAGAAGAACCCCUGAUGCCGUCGAGCCAAGAAAAGUUUCUAAGUUUAGCUAAUGUUGCCCGUACCGUAAACCGACACAGGUGGGUGGGAUGAGUAUUCUAAGGCGCGUGGAAGAACUCUCUUUAAGGAACUCUGCAAAAUAGCACCGUAUCUUCGGUAUAAGGUGUGGUUCGCUUCGUAUUAGGAUUUACUCCGAAAGCGAAGAAACUUACAACAAAGAGUCCCUCCCGACUGUUUACCAAAAACACAGCACUCUGCUAACUCGUAAGAGGAUGUAUAGGGUGUGACGCCUGCCCGGUGCUCGAAGGUUAAUUGAUGGGGUUAGCAUUAGCGAAGCUCUUGAUCGAAGCCCGAGUAAACGGCGGCCGUAACUAUAACGGUCCUAAGGUAGCGAAAUUCCUUGUCGGUUAAAUACCGACCUGCAUGAAUGGCGUAACGAGAUGGGAGCUGUCUCAAAGAGGGAUCCAGUGAAAUUGUAGUGGAGGUGAAAAUUCCUCCUACCCGCGGCAAGACGGAAAGACCCCGUGGACCUUUACUACAGCUUGACACUGCUAUUUGGAUAAGAAUGUGCAGGAUAGGUGGGAGGCUUUGAGUAUAUGACGCCAGUUGUAUAUGAGCCAUUGUUGAGAUACCACUCUUUCUUAUUUGGGUAGCUAACCAGCUUGAGUUAUCCUCAAGUGGGACAAUGUCUGGUGGGUAGUUUGACUGGGGCGGUCGCCUCCCAAAUAAUAACGGAGGCUUACAAAGGUUGGCUCAGAACGGUUGGAAAUCGUUCGUAGAGUAUAAAGGUAUAAGCCAGCUUAACUGCAAGACAUACAAGUCAAGCAGAGACGAAAGUCGGUCUUAGUGAUCCGGUGGUUCUGUGUGGAAGGGCCAUCGCUCAAAGGAUAAAAGGUACCCCGGGGAUAACAGGCUGAUCUCCCCCAAGAGCUCACAUCGACGGGGAGGUUUGGCACCUCGAUGUCGGCUCAUCGCAUCCUGGGGCUGGAGCAGGUCCCAAGGGUAUGGCUGUUCGCCAUUUAAAGCGGUACGCGAGCUGGGUUCAGAACGUCGUGAGACAGUUCGGUCCCUAUCUGCCGUGGGCGUAAGAAGAUUGAAGAGAUUUGACCCUAGUACGAGAGGACCGGGUUGAACAAACCACUGGUGUAGCUGUUGUUCUGCCAAGAGCAUCGCAGCGUAGCUAAGUUUGGAAAGGAUAAACGCUGAAAGCAUCUAAGCGUGAAGCCAACUCUAAGAUGAAUCUUCUCUAAGCUCUCUAGAAGACUACUAGUUUGAUAGGCUGGGUGUGUAAUGGAUGAAAGUCCUUUAGCUGACCAGUACUAAUAGAGCGUUUGGCUUAUCUUUAAUAAAGCAU
rnacentral:rRNA from 1 species